UACGGGGGGGGCAAGCGUUGUUCGGAAUUACUGGGCGUAAAGGGCGCGUAGGCGGCCUUCUAAGUCGGAUGUGAAAUCCCUCGGCUUAACCGAGGACGUGCAUUCGAAACUGAUGGUCUUGAGUACGAAAGAGGAUCGCGGAAUUCCCUGUGUAGAGGUGAAAUUCGUAGAUAUUGGGAAGAACACCGGUGGCGAAGGCGGCCAUCUGGACCGGUUCUGACGCUGAGGCGCGAAAGCGUGGGGAGCAAACAGG
rnacentral:rRNA from 1 species